ACCGCAGACCGCCUUAUCGCUGGUUGUAAAAUCAGAGGAAAGUCCGGACACCAAAGAGUAGCAUAGCGGGUAACGCCCGUCACUAGAUUCGUCUAGUCGGACAAGUGCAACAGAAAGUAUGUACAGGUAAUGCUGUAGUGAAACCAGGUAAACUCUAUGCGGUGAAAUGCCAUGUAUAUCAACAUUUAAGGGCUGCUCGUCCGUUGUUGAGGGGUAGGCAGAUGGAGCUAUUUAGUAAUUUUUAGCCUAGAUAAAUGAUAAGGCCUCAAUUUAUUGAGGACAGAAUCCGGCUUAUAGGUCUGCAUUUUUU
rnacentral:RNase_P_RNA from 1 species